rnacentral:lncRNA from 1 species
CCAAAGCAUGAUAAGCAAUCUGACUGAAACUCAGACCAUAGACAUUGAGACUUUUUCCUGUAUUACAUCUUCACUGUGCCUGUAACCAUGGAAGGUUCAGUUUCAUCACUAUCCAAUGAAGCCAGUAACCAGAGCGACAGAGUGAUGGGAGAAGAAAGCUUUAUCGGCAUUCAGCUGGCAGGUGGGAGAUGGAGGAGGCUCCCACCCAGGGCCCAGCUCGCCAGGAGUCACAGGUUCAAAAGGCGUUUCUCCUAUCUGCUGUGUUUGGGCUUUACUGAAUCUCUACUGCACUCUGAAGAUUUGAAGGCUUAUUGAUAACUGUGUGAUUUCCACAAUUCUGUACUCAAAUGUUGGCAUCAAGUAUUGUAGGGGAGCCUCUACCUGCAAAUAACUUGAAGGACAAGAGUGACAACUGCCGUGUGCUGUGCACCAUCUACUUUCAGCUGGAAGUGUCCAUCCCGUUUCAUCUCUUCAUUCCUGUGGACGAUCCUUGGGCACAGGGUUAAUCCAGGAGGAGGAUUUAGUAACAAGGUUGCCUGGCCUCUGGGCCUGGGCGGGAGAGCUGUUGUUCCAGCCCUGUCCCUCAGCCACACUGAUCAGAGUGGGGCUCCGAGCUUCAUUUGGGAGACAGAGCAGCAGUCACCCUGAAUCUCACCCUGCAGACUCUGGGGGUUCAGAGGUUGGGAGGGCAGAGCUGCAGGCCCAGGCAGCAAGAGUAGGUGGAGACUUCGCAGCAGCUGCAGCAAAAGGGAAGGACUGGCCGAGAGUGCUGCACUCUGUGCUCCCAGACAUCUGGAGGAAACUUUGGGCAUGCGCAGGACCUCAAGCCUGGCAGCCAGCUGUGAAGGCCGGUGCCCAUGAGACACUCAGCUCAUGUCAUUUCUCCCAUCCGACAGGGGAGUCCACCUGCCCAGCCCCACCUGGAGUCCUUUCACUUCGCCUUGCAGCAGGAAAGUGCCCAGAGAUGUUAGCCAAGGCCACAGUUGGCCAUUGCUGCCCUAGAGGCUUAUACGUGGGUCUUGGACUCCAGGGACACCGGUGAGGUCACUGGGCCUCAGAGGCUGGAGUUGGGGGCACCAGUGUGCCCCAUGGUGAUGUCUGAAGAACGCAUCCCAUCCCAUGAGUCCUUUCGCAGGGCAGGCGCUGGGCUCUGAAAGCUGCCCUCACAAAGAUGCCUGCAGCUCCCACUCUUUCCAGAGGAGCCAUCAGCCCUCGGCUAGGAGGGCAAAGGUCACUGUGCUGAGAGAAUGACCUCUUUCUCUCAGAAAGCUGCUGCUUUCAGAGCUGUGGCCACCCCAGCCUGGCCAUCACGCAGGCCUGCACCAAGAAAUAAAAGGUUCUCACAGCCGGGUAGGCGCUGUGACACAGUUUAAUUUGCUGUAA